AGCUAGCCCAAAGGUGAGUUAUCUCAGUGGCUUGUUCACAGAUAGUUACGGAUCAAACUCCUUGUUCUACUGUUUCCCCCUUCUCACUACUGCACUUGACUAAUCUUAA
rnacentral:Y_RNA from 1 species